UACGUAGGGUGCAAGCGUUGUCCGGAAUUAUUGGGCGUAAAGAGCUCGUAGGCGGUCUGUCGCGUCGGCUGUGAAAACCCGGAGCUCAACUCCGGGCCUGCAGUCGAUACGGGCAGACUGGAGUUCGGCAGGGGAGACUGGAAUUCCUGGUGUAGCGGUGGAAUGCGCAGAUAUCAGGAGGAACACCGGUGGCGAAGGCGGUUCUCUGGGCAUUACCUGACGCUGAGGCACGAAAGCGUGGGGAGCAAACAGG
rnacentral:rRNA from 1 species